UAAGGAAUAUUGGUCAAUGGACGCAAGUCUGAACCAGCCAUGCCGCGUGAAGGAUUAAGGUCCUCUGGAUUGUAAACUUCUUUUAUCUGGGACGAAAAAAGGCGAUUCUUCGUCACUUGACGGUACCAGAUGAAUAAGCACCGGCUAACUCCGUGCCAGCAGCCGCGGUAAUACGGAGGGUGCAAGCGUUAUCCGGAUUCACUGGGUUUAAAGGGUGCGUAGGCGGGCAGGUAAGUCAGUGGUGAAAAUCCCUGGAGCUUAACUCCAGAACUGCCAUUGAUACUAUCUGUCUUGAAUAUUGUGGAGGUAAGCGGAAUAUGUCAUGUAGCGGUGAAAUGCUUAGAUAUGACAUAGAACACCUAUUGCGAAGGCAGCUUACUACGCAUAUAUUGACGCUGAGGCACGAAAGCGUGGGGAUCAAACAGGAUUAGAUACCCUGGUAGUCCACGCCCUAAACGAUGGAUACUCGACAUACGCGAUACACUGUGUGUGUCUGAGCGAAAGCAUUAAGUAUCCCCACCUGGGGAAGUACGACCGCAAGGUUGAAACUUAAAUGAAUUGACGGGGUCAUAGCUGUUUCCUG
rnacentral:rRNA from 1 species